UUUUUUGAAAACUCUUCUUUUUUUAUACAUAAAGAUUAAAAAAACUAUAUCAAAACCCUAAAAGUCUUGCAUCAAUAAGUAUCCAGCUAGAUUCAUGAAACUGAAUUUUAGUCAAGUCGUAUUUGAAUAUUCAGAAGAUGUAACAUAGUUGAUGUAGAAAACCGCGUUCUUGAAUGAGAAGAAUACGUAGAAGUUUGAUGCUUCAACUUUAUCUGUUCACAUACGGUUGAUUAACUGUUUUCUUCGAUCUAUAUAUGUACACACUACUGGUCGAGAUGUGAGAAAAGAACAACAAAAUGAAGAAAAUAACACAAUCGCUUCUUCUAAGUUUGGUUCCUAUACUUCUAUGUGUAUCUUUUCAGGUUGGUGUGAUAGAGGCUAGAUUGCGUCACCUAGGAACACCAAUAACAGAAACACGAAUGAUACACGUAAACCCUCCCCCACCUUGUGGAGCUAAAAUACAAGUUGCGCCGCCUUUGCCGCCUUCUACUCAGAUACAAACGGGAGAGAUGCCUCCUUUUGAGACACAAACAGGAGGAGCUUGUAGACCCGUUCCUCGAAGACUUCCUCGUCCACCUUAAGAACUUACACACUCAGAAAUCAGAAUCCACAAAGACUUUGCCCACCAUAUAUAUAUAUAAUUAAUGGUCUUGAUAUCUUCUAAAUAAUUUACAAAAGUUGGUAUUCUUCUGGUUCUGAAACCAUCUUCACCAAUUGAGAACAAUCCGUUGCAAACGUAAUCUGAAAUUAACGUAAGUUUCUCAUACAUUCCAUUGCCCAGAGUAGCGCUUCUAUCUCCGCAUGAAGAGAUAGGCUAACCCGAACAUUCCUCACCUCCAACAGUCCAUCAAAUCCUUCUAGUGUACUAAACCAUCUCUGUCCGAAAAAGAUAUCAUCCUUUUUCCAAGAACCAUCUGUGAAACACCAUCUUCUAGGAAUUGGCAGCAUGGACGUGACCACAACUUGUGGUACUAUUCUCUGCUCAUCUAAAAUUUGUGCAUCCGCCCAAAGUGUAGAUUUUGUUUCUGACAAAUUAAGUGUAUCCAUGGGAUCAAUGUCCAAAUUACUAAAAACUUUGUUAUUACGGUCUUUCCAUAUGUACCAUAAAAUCCAAGCAAACUGAUGGUCUUCCAUUUGUGGCAGAACUCUCCAGAAAUGAUGAUUCAUAUUUGUGAAUAAAGACUUUCUUGGAAAAAUAUAUGGGUUCGAUGGUAUCUUCGAGAGAGCCCAAACCUGAAGUGCUGGAUGACAUUCGAAAAAUACAUGGUUUAUCGAUUCCUCUGAGCUCUACAUCUGACACAACAAAUAUCUCCUUGAAUCCCUCUCCCUUGUAAAUUCUUCUUAACUGCUACACAUCCUCCCACGAGCUGCCAUGGGAAGUGUUUUAACUUUGGUGGGCACCAUAUUUUCCUACAAAAAGCUUUCAAUACGUCAACUAUAGGGCCAAUCAAAAGUGGUGGUCGUGCUCUAUCUGGGUAAAUCCGUUCUAUCUGAUAUCCUGAUUUAACUGUAUAUUUUCCACUUUUGGUAAAAUGGCAUCCAUCACUGUUUGUCCUCUGAGUCGUACUCAGUAGUAUACUUUCUAUAAGUUCUGAUUCAUGUGGGUCCACCAAAGUCCAAAUUGCAUGUGAAUUCCAAGUACGCGAAGUGGAAUCAAUGAGAGAAUCCAUUGUAAGGUCUGGGUAUAAAUUGUAUUGAUUUUUAUUGUCUGGUCUCGAUACAGAUAUAGAAGAACAUGUUCCCACGAA